rnacentral:rRNA from 1 species
UACGUAGGGCGCAAGCGUUAUCCGGAAUUAUUGGGCGUAAAGAGCUCGUAGGCGGUUUGUCGCGUCUGCCGUGAAAGUCCGGGCUCAACUCCGGAUCUGCGGUGGGUACGGGCAGACUAGAGUGAUGUAGGGAGACUGGAAUUCCUGGUGUAGCGGUGAAAUGCGCAGAUAUCAGGAGGAACACCGAUGGCGAAGGCAGGUCUCUGGGCAUUAACUGACGCUGAGGAGCGAAAGCAUGGGGAGCGAACAGG